UAGGGAAUCUUCGGCAAUGGGGGGAACCCUGACCGAGCAACGCCGCGCGAGUGAAGAAGGUUUUCGGAUCGUAAAGCUCUGUUGUUAAGGAAGAACGAGUGUGAGAAUGGAAAGUUCAUGCUGUGACGGUACUUAACCAGAAAGGGACGGCUAACUACGUGCCAGCAGCCGCGGUAAUACGUAGGUCCCGAGCGUUGUCCGGAUUUAUUGGGCGUAAAGCGAGCGCAGGCGGUUAGAAAAGUCUGAAGUGAAAGGCAGUGGCUCAACCAUUGUAGGCUUUGGAAACUGUUUAACUUGAGUGCAGAAGGGGAGAGUGGAAUUCCAUGUGUAGCGGUGAAAUGCGUAGAUAUAUGGGAGAACACCGGUGGCGAAAGCGGCUCUCUGGUCUGUAACUGACGCUGAGGCUCGAAAGCGUGGGGAGCGAACAGG
rnacentral:rRNA from 1 species